CCUACGGGAGGCAGCAGUAGGGAAUCUUCCACAAUGGGCGAAAGCCUGAUGGAGCAACGCCGCGUGGGUGAAGAAGGUCUUCGGAUCGUAAAACCCUGUUGUUAGAGAAGAAAGUGCGUGAGAGUAACUGUUCACGUUUCGACGGUAUCUAACCAGAAAGCCACGGCUAACUACGUGCCAGCAGCCGCGGUAAUACGUAGGUGGCAAGCGUUAUCCGGAUUUAUUGGGCGUAAAGGGAACGCAGGCGGUCUUGUAAGUCUGAUGUGAAAGCCUUGGGCUUAACCGGAGUAGUGCAUUGGAAACUGGAAGACUUGAGUGCAGGAGAGGAGAGUGGAACUCCAUGUGUAGCGGUGAAAUGCGUAGAUAUAUGGAAGAACACCAGUGGCGAAGGCGGCUCACUGGUCUGUAACUGACGCUGAGGUUCGAAAGCGUGGGUAGCAAACAGGAUUAGAUACCCCGGUAGUC
rnacentral:rRNA from 1 species